rnacentral:lncRNA from 1 species
UGGUAAUUGAUCUAUGGAUCUGAUGAGUAAAUCUUUUCUCAAUCAGUUUUGUUUUGGCUUUGGAUAUCAGAAAGUCAGAUUACCCUGAAUUUCGUAUUAUCUUUCUUUCACUUGUGAUGUAACAUAGACAAUUGAAAGAAAGAUCUGUUCUCAGAUUUUACCUCAUGGCAUUGCUUUAUCCUCCUUUAUUAAUUUAGGUAUAUGUUUUGUACAAGAAUACCAAGUAUUUUGGCUCUUUUAAUUUUUUUUAUCCUUUUUAAUUUUUGAAACCAAAAAUAAUAAUAAGUCAAGAAACAAUCGUACAUUCCUACUGUCUGAUAGAGAUGUUAGCUAUCUUACUAAACUAAAAGUAACUUUUGGCUAAAAUGGUUCGGGACAUCUUUGUAGUUACCUCUUUUUCUUCAAUUUCUUUUGACUUGCCAGGUACUGGUAAUCGAGAAAUUUUAUUUUGUGUUUCACAUCACUUCCAUAUGUUCUGUGAGGAACUUUAAUUGCUUAACAAGUGACUUGUUUUACCAUUUCUUUAGUUGAAGAAAGAAUCAAUAAAGGUAAUUUAAAAGUUUCCAAAGUAAGGCACUCUACUAGGACCCAAAAAAUCAAUGAUAUGCAUACCCCUAGGCGUGAAUACUGAAUAACACAUGCUUUUCUCUUUUUCAUGGCUGAGAUGGAGUUGUAUUACUGUUCAACCUUACUAAAAGAUGCUUAUGGUUGAUGGUGCUUUGUAUGAACUUACAUGGCUUUUCUACUUAUGCUU